AGAGUGUUGGAUGCAGCAUAAAGUGGCCUCCGGGACAAAUCGGCAAUCUGUAAUCUCUAGUUUGAACUUCUUGGAGACAAAUCAAUGAAGAAUGUAUUAUUUCUUUCAGCCUUCUUGUUUUAGCAUUUUGGAUUUCUCAAGGUGUAAUAGGCAAGAAAUGAUGUAAUAGUUGAUACUUUUGUAUACGAUUAUUUAAUAUAAGUUGUACUUGUAGUGCA